rnacentral:lncRNA from 1 species
CGGGAGACAACUCCAGAUCCUGCCAGCGGAAAUGGAAGAAGGGGGUUGGACCGAAGCUACUAAGUGGGGAGGAGCUGGGGGCGCUGCCCAAGGGAGACUACAUUUGCAUAUUACAUUAUCUGUGAUGCUGCAUGAGAGAAGGCAAUGAAGGAGAUCUGAGAGCCUAGAGAAAGUCCAUCACCUGCCUUCUUCUGAGCAUAAAGUUCAACAAAAAGUUAGUGGAGACAACACCACAUGGUAUUAUAAAGAGAUGUCUUCAGAGUACUAACACAGCUUGGGAAAGUUCUACUUUGGAUCACUAGUUGGAAGUGGUCCCAAAUUGAGGUAGAGAUAUUUACAAAAGUAGAGCGGUGCAGUUAUGGACAUGGGCCCGUUUGGAAGAACUGUAUUUGACAGUGUGCAUUGAACAUCUCAAGGAUCCUCUGUAAGUAUUUAUUCUCCGAAUUGCAGAAUGGCCCAGGUUGGAAGGGACCUCAAGGAUCAUGAAGCUCCAACCCCCCCCCACCACAGACAGGGCCACCGACCUCCACAUUUUAUACUAGACCAGGCUGCCCAGGG